rnacentral:rRNA from 1 species
GAUGAACGCUGACAGAAUGCUUAACACAUGCAAGUCGAUGGGGAAGUGGUGCUUGCACCAUGGUAACCAUGGCGGACGGGUGAGUAACGCGUAAGGAACUUGCCUGCGGGGCUGGGAUAACAGCAGGAAACUGCUGAUAAUACCGGAUAAGGUCAUUAAGCUGCAUAGCUUAGUGAUGAAAGGAGACGCCUGCGGAGAGCCUUGCGUCCUAUUAGCUAGUUGGAGGGGUAACGGCCCACCAAGGCGAAGAUAGGUAGCCGGCCUGAGAGGGUGGACGGCCACAAGGGGACUGAGAUACGGCCCUUACUCCUACGGGAGGCAGCAGUGGGGAAUAUUGGACAAUGGGGGCAACCCUGAUCCAGCAAUUCUGUGUGCACGAAGACGGUUUUCGGAUUGUAAAGUGCUUUCAGCAGGGAAGAAGGAAGUGACGGUACCUGCAGAAGAAGCGACGGCUAAAUACGUG